rnacentral:lncRNA from 1 species
CUUCAUUGUUGCAGUCACCAAAUCCCUUUCAAUGUCAAAAGGUACAGGAUCCAACACUAUGCCUUUGAUGUACUCAAAACCUCGUAGCUGAUUUGUGACAUGCAAUGAGGGUUACCAUAUAGAAUUAUAGAUCUGAUACACAGUGAAAGUUUGAAAAACAAGGAGUCUACAAAACUAAGAUAUUUCCUCUUUCAAUUUCUUAUAAAAAACAGAAAAAAGAUGCAUUCAAUACUACAUUAUGAUACUUUACGGCGAAGGUUUUUGUUUGUCAGAGUGAAUAGAUGACCAUACCUUGUUCUUCUGUGCAACAGCUGCCAGCUCUUUCAGGAUGUACUCUUUAAGUCCUUCAAGUUUGCAGAUUUCAGCAAACGAACCCUUAUAGCCAUUGGAGUGUGCCCACUUCAUUGUGUUUUCUUCGUGUGGAUUGACUACUGCAACUAAACUUGAUCUGAAACUGUCCCCAUAUACCCAGAUCUAGAAAAAGGACA